rnacentral:tRNA from 1 species
GCGCAUGUAGUCUAGCCUGGUAGGAUCUGAGCUUCCCAAGCUCGAGGCCCGGGUUCAAAUCCCGGCGUGCGCAC